AGCAGCAGCCACGGGAAUACAGAGGGUGCGAGCGUUAAUCGGAUUUACUGGGCGUAAAGCGUGCGUAGGCGGCUUUUUAAGUCGGAUGUGAAAUCCCUGAGCUUAACUUAGGAAUUGCAUUCGAUACUGGGAAGCUAGAGUAUGGGAGAGGAUGGUAGAAUUCCAGGUGUAGCGGUGAAAUGCGUAGAGAUCUGGAGGAAUACCGAUGGCGAAGGCAGCCAUCUGGCCUAAUACUGACGCUGAGGUACGAAAGCAUGGGGAGCAAACAGGAUUAGAUACCCGAGUAGUCCCUGUCUCUUAUAC
rnacentral:rRNA from 1 species